UUUUUUAAUUUUUUUUCGAUGUAUGGACCUGUAUUUUAUCCAUUUAUUUACAUUCGAUGCUGAGAAUCAAACCCAGGGCCUCACACAUGUUAGGCAAGUGCUGUUACCACUGAGCCACAACUCCAGCCCCUUAUGUCUGUCUUUUGCACCUCAGAACCCACAGGACCUCGAGUUCUCUGUGCACUCAGCACAUGCUCAGUAAAUAUCUGCUGAGUGGAUGGAGUAGGAGGCUAUGUAGGGGUGACAUCGCAGCAAGGAAGGCUUUCCAGAGGAAGGAAGUGCAGCUGAGACUGCAGGGCCUUAGUGCAGGAGUCACCCUGGAAGGGAAAGGCCAGUCCAUACAGAAGGACCUAGAAAACAACAACAGAAAAGGGAUAUAGGAAGGUCCAAAGUGUGGAGCAUUCUGGAAACUGUAAAUUGUUCAAUUUGACUGGGGUAGAAGCUGGGCAGGGUCAGAAAUCAGAGGAGCUGGAGAAGUAGAAGGCAGGACACUUGGCCUUAUUACUCCCUGAAGAAUUG
rnacentral:lncRNA from 1 species